rnacentral:rRNA from 1 species
UACGUAGGGUGCAAGCGUUAAUCGGAAUUACUGGGCGUAAAGCGUGCGCAGGCGGUUUUGUAAGUCUGUCGUGAAAUCCCCGGGCUCAACCUGGGAAUUGCGAUGGAGACUGCACGGCUAGAGUGUGUCAGAGGGGGGUAGAAUUCCGCGUGUAGCAGUGAAAUGCGUAGAUAUGCGGAGGAACACCGAUGGCGAAGGCAAUCCCCUGGGCCUGCACUGACGCUCAUGCACGAAAGCGUGGGGAGCAAACAGG